GUCAAACCUCUCCAAUCAGCAAACGGUGAAUGAAGAAAUCGCUGUUGGUAACCGUGAAUAUUUUAACAGGUCAAGUACAGGUCAAACUUCAUCAGCUGUUUUUUUUCAUCACACACAUGCAUGACGUGUCGUGUGUCAUCAUGGAAGCGAAACUGCGUGGUUCAAUGCUGUUGUUUGUUUAUUGAAAACCGGCUGUUAGAUUGCUGGAAACUUUAUAAUCAUGUGAAGAUGAUAUGUGAUGCUGAUCGCAUUGCCACAAACCUUGUAGCCAAAUGGCCGGGAAGUGUUCACGACAGUCGAAUAUUCAAGGUGUCGUCCAUUGGCCGUGAACUUGCUAACCAAGCUCCACAUGAUGGAUUCCUUUUGGGAGACAAAGGUUAUGCACUUGAACCGUACCUGAUGACACCUUAUCGGAAUCCAACACCUGAAGAAGCCAGAUAUAAUGCCGCCCAAGCACGAACCAGGACACGAGUUGAGCAGGCCUUUGGCAUUUUAAAGAGGCGGUUCCAUUGCUUGCACAAUGAAAUUCGGCUGGUCCCAGAACAGGCCUGUAAAGUGAUAGUCUGCUGUGUAAUCCUCAACAACAUUGCACUGAAGCGGCAGGAUGUGAUGGAGCCACUUUUGGAGAAUCAAUAUAACCUUGAUCCCAUUGAUGACGAUACUGUAACUGGAAGGGUUCAUUUGCGUGAUACCUUCUUUCAUUUCUGAUUGUGCAAGCAUGCAAGUGUUUUUUAGCUCAGCUGACAAAGUCAGCGGAGCUAGUAGUAUAGCUGUUCAAAUGGUGUCCGUCCUGCAAUCCAUCCAUCUAGGGACCCAUCUGUGGACAAAAUUGGACAUUUCUGACCGGGAAGACCUAGCCACUUCGUUGACGGUGCUAAAUUAGGAGUUGCCCAAGGUGAACUCAAAAAACGAAAAAUCAGCGC